UACGGAGGAUCCGAGCGUUAUCCGGAAUCACUGGGCGUAAAGGGCGCGUAGGCGGCCUGUUAAGUCCGAUGUUAAAGACUGGGGCUCAACCCCAGCAUUGCGUUGGAUACUGGCAGGCUUGACGGUUGGAGAGGCGAGUGGAAUUACCAGCGUAGCGGUGAAAUGCGUAGAGAUCGGGAGGAACACCAGUGGCGAAGGCGGGUAACUGGACUGCAACUGACGCUGAGGCGCGAAAGUGUGGGGAGCAAACAGGAUUAGAUACCCCUGUA
rnacentral:rRNA from 1 species